AUGAGCUCCCAGAUCGCCCACUCCACGCCGUUGAUCGCCAGCACCUGCGACGCCGCCGCGGCCCCCGCGCGCCGGCACAGCAGCACAAGCGCGGCCGCCGCGCACUCCCGCGACCACUCCGUGCCGCGCCGCAUCUCAGCCACCAGCUUCGCCACGGCGCCGUCGAUGUUCACGAUCGCCUCCGCCCCGCCGCGCUUGGCCAGCGACGCCAGCACCGCCGCGGCGGUCUCCUCCUCGCUGAUCGCUGACAGUGCCGCCUCAGCGGCGCCCGCUCCCACGAGCUUGCCCACGUUCUCCCUCUCCGCGGACAGGCACAGCAGCGCGGCCAGCGCGUCCUUCUUGGUGCUCGGGGGGCCCGUGCGCACCAGGAGCACCACCUUCUCGAUCACAAGUGGGUUCCGGCCGAGCCGGCGGCGGUAUGUAUGGACGGCCGACAGGCUGAGCACGGUGGCAGCGGCGUUCUCCUUCGCCCGCCAGGUCGCGCCGGAGCCCAUCACUUCGCAGAGGGCCGCCACCGCGCCGUCGGCGUGCAUGAUGCGCUUCUUGUUGGCAUCGAGAAUGGAGAGGUUGAGCAGCGCCGUGACGGAGUUGAGCUGCAGCGCGGCGUCCUCGGAGUUGAGCAGCGGCACGAGGAGCGGGACGGCGCCGGCCUCUCCGAUGAACGCGCGGCUCUCGGAGCCGGACUUGGCGAGCAGACGGAUCUUGUGCACGACACGGUUGUCCGAGCCAGGGGAGAACGACGCCGAGAGCUUCUUCACCAGAAACGACGCGGUCAUGCGCGCCGCCUCCACCGCGGCCUUGUUUGCGGCCACCGGCGGCGCCGGCUCGGGCUUGCCAGGCUCGCUGCCUUCCAUGGCGACGCCAUUCUCCCGGCACCACCGCGAGAUCAAGUUCUUGAGCGCCUUGUUGGGCACCAGCUCCAGAUUAGUCAGCACCUGGCCGGUCUUGGGGCACGUCGACUUGCCGGCGCCGAACCACCGCGUAAUGGACUCGCGGUCGUACGUCUGGCCACUAGCGGACACAACCGGGUCGCGCAUCAGGUCGAGAGAGAUGGGGCAGCGGAAGUCCGGCGGCGGCGCCAGAGGCUCGGUGUCAUCGUCGUCGGCCUCCACCUUGGAGUCGAGCGGCCGCGGCGUGGCAGCGCUGAAGAGGACGCACUUGGCGUACCGGAGGAGGCCGACGAGGGCAAUCAUGGCCGAAGUCCACCGCUCCGCCAGUCGGUCGCCGAUCUCGCGCUCCAAGAUCUCGAUCUCCUGGCUGCAGCUGGCCGGGUCGUUGAUGGCCACCUCCUCGAGGAUGGCCUCCAGGCGCUCCCGCUCAGGCACGAUCUCCCGCUCGACUUCCUGGAUGAGCGCCAGCACGCUGGCCUUGAGCUCCUGCUCGGCCGCGGCCUCGGGCGCGCGGCGCCGGCACUGGCGCGAGGCGAGCGUGAGCAGGUCGGCCACGUCGUCGGCGAGCCCGAGCUCACCAACCGGGAGAAUAUCGAGCAGCGUGGCGAGGUCGUGCUGCAGCUCGCGCACGCGCGCGGCGACCUCGUCGGACUGCAGCAGCAGGCGCAUGCGGCUGCGCGCGGAGCAGUCGGCCACGACGGCCUUGAAGCGCUGCAGCACGAGCAGCACCUCGCGGAGGCAGAGCGAGGCGGACCGCGGCAGGGCGACGGCCGCGCCCAGCAGCAGCAGGUCGUCGAACACGGCGACGAGGAGGCGCGCCCGGCGGGACACGGACGCGAAGACGGCCCUGAGGAACGGCGCCGGCGGGUCGGCGGCGGCCAGGUCGCGCGCCAGGCGGCGCAGGGACCGGAGGAUCUCCACGUCGGGCGCCGACGCGGAGUACGGCGAAGAGGACGGCUCGGCCGUGCUGGCCAUUGCGGCAACCAGAGGGCGGCGACGGAUGCGUGAAGCCUUUUGA
rnacentral:rRNA from 1 species